UACAGAGGGUGCAAACGUUGCUCGGAAUUAUUGGGCGUAAAGCGCACGUAGGCGGUUCGUUAAGUCAGAUGUGAAAGCCCCGGGCUCAACUCGGGAAGUGCAUUUGAAACUGGCGGGCUUGAGUAUGGAAGAGGGUCGCGGAAUUCCCGGUGUAGAGGUGAAAUUCGUAGAUAUCGGGAGGAACACCAGUGGCGAAGGCGGCGACCUGGGCCAAUACUGACGCUGAGGUGCGAAAGCGUGGGGAGCAAACAGGG
rnacentral:rRNA from 1 species